UAGAAAAAUAUAAUAUAAUGAUUUAAAAUAUAUUAAUAGGAUAAUAUAAUAAUGGGAUAUAAUAAUAGUAACAGAAUAUGAUGAUAAUAAUAUGGUAAUAGAAUAAUAGUAUAAAAUAAUCAGUUUCAUGGCAUAGGAUAGGAAUAAGGAUGAGAGGAGAAUCCCAAUGCGUCCUGUACCUUUAAGGAGCGAAGCCUUGGGGAGGAGUGGAAAGCCCUCUUCCUUCCCUCCCUCCCACCCUCCCUUGCCCUGGCUCCAGGAGCCAAUCAGAAGCCUUGGGGGCGAAGGCAGCAUGGCCAGAAGGGAGACGGAAGGGAGGAAGAAACGGCAGCGCAGCAGCAGCCAUGGAAGGUUCUUCAAGCCGCGGCUGGGGGACAGGCAAGGCAAGGCCAGCCAGGGAGGGAGGGAGGCACAGAAAACAAGCACUUUCCCUCCCUCCCUCCGGUGUGUGUAUGAGGAGUGCUGCUUUAGCCCUGCAGCCAUGCUUCCCAAUGGAACUCUGCUGCAGCCUUAGUUGCUAGGUCUUACUUUCAGGGGAGGCCUUAUAUUUGGCAAUCCCCCCAAACCCCUGCUAGGUCUUAUUCUUUGGGGAGGUCUUAUUUUCGGGGAAACACGGUAUUAUAUACAUGGGUGUCAUCAAAUGAUAUUCCUUAUAUAAAAUGGCAAAAUCAGUGUUUGCUUUUUGGAUUAAAAAAAAAAUCUUCCAGACAUGGUGAUGUUUGUGUCCAUGGAUGCAGAAUCCAUGGAUGCAGAGGAUUAACUGAACAUUGUGGCCAAAAAAGUGGGCAUAGCAUGUGAAUUUACUAUACUUUAAAUAUUUUUCCCCAAACUACCUCCCAGCUGCAGUCUGUAAUGACAUGUGUUUGAAGCUGAUGAAGUUUUAAUUACAGGAUGUAUUUGCUGAACACCACCCUUAAAAAAGUAGAAUAAUAAAAACAGAGAAGAAAGGAAAUGAGCGUUUAACAGUUGUGUUUCCUUGGCAGUCCUAUCACUUGACUGAUCUCAGCCAAAGAACACAUGAGUUUCAGACCCAUUUUACCUCCAGCAGCCUUCACUGUCAAAAAGUAAGUAGUGUUAGAUGAUGAAUUUCUCAGACGUAGUACUGACAAAGAGCAGGCAAGGUAUUAAAACCGUGUCUGGAUUAUAUCAUCUCAUAGUGCAGGUGCAGGUCAGACAAUGAAAUGUUUUUUCACCAAAAAUAAAAUAAAACCUAAGGCUAAAGAAGUAGAAUUUGGCAAGUUUAGAAUCUUUCUACCUGACACCUAAUGUUCUGGGUCAGGAAAGCUUUGAGACAUUUAUCUGUAGAAGAGUAUUCAGCCGUAAUCAUUUCCUUUUAGUUGUCGGCAAGUGUAAUACUAUCUAAACUAGACCUUGGAAAAGUCCGUUUUGGACAGCUAUUCCCAACAUCUGCUAGGCAGUAUAACUAGUCACACUGGUUAGGGUAUUUUUGAAAUUAUAGUCCAAAAAAGUUAUAUUUUUAUCAUAUGUUAUAUAGAUAUACUUUCCUUGAGUAGUUCCAAUGCCAUGUUUUGUUUUUUUCCAUUUCCUUAGACAGUUGUAGAAAGGACACAGCACUGACUGUACAACUGGUUUUCUUUAAUCAUAUUAAUGAUUUUUUUUCAGAUGGGAAGCGUAUAAUAGAAAUACAAAUUGGACACCUAACCACAGCCAGACUUUGAAAGUCCUAUACUUUAGUUCUUGAAACCUUCAGUCAUCCAGGUGGAUCAUGCUUUCUGACUUCUCAAAGAGACACACCCCAGAGGGCAACAGCAGUUUAAACAUGUUCCUACAAAAGCGAUCAAUACAUGACAGUUCCUUAUUAUGAAAUGGGGUGUGGAAACAAAAAAGUGAAGAAGAUGAAACGGGUCUGAGAAUUUGUUUCUGAAGGCAAGUUCCCCGUGUCCUUUAAAACGCACAUGCAUCAAAAUGUGCCAGGUGAAACUUCACCUUACCAUUACAUUAUUAAAAGGAAGAAACUUUGCACAUGAACGGAUGAGAACAAAGCUCCAAAAAUAGCAGUGAAGGAGACUGCAGCUGAAAGCAGACCGGGAAAAAAAAAAACCCGCUUACCUUUUCCCCCAGUGCUUCCUAAUGCAG